rnacentral:rRNA from 1 species
UAAGCCGUUGAAGGUGAAUCGUAAGGUUUGCUGGAGGUAUCAGAAGUGCGAAUGCUGACAUGAGUAACGACAAAGGGGGUGAAAAACCUCCUCGCCGGAAGACCAAGGGUUCCUGUCCAACGUUAAUCGGGGCAGGGUGAGUCGACCCCUAAGGUGAGGCCGAAAGGCGUAAUCGAUGGGAAACGGGUUAAUAUUCCCGUACUUCUGACUAUUGCGAUGGGGGGACGGAGAAGGCUAGGUGGGCCAGGCGACGGUUGUCCUGGUUCAAGUGCGUAGGCUUGAGAGUUAGGUAAAUCCGGCUCUCUUUAAGGCUGAGACACGACGUCGAGCUACUACGGUAGUGAAGUCAUUGAUGCCAUGCUUCCAGGAAAAGCCUCUAAGCUUCAGAUAGUCAGGAAUCGUACCCCAAACCGACACAGGUGGUCGGGUAGAGAAUACCAAGGCGCUUGAGAGAACUCGGGUGAAGGAACUAGGCAAAAUGGUACCGUAACUUCGGGAGAAGGUACGCUCUUGAUGGUGAAGUCCCUCGCGGAUGGAGCUGACGAGAGUCGCAGAUACCAGGUGGCUGCAACUGUUUAUUAAAAACACAGCACUGUGCAAAAUCGCAAGAUGACGUAUACGGUGUGACGCCUGCCCGGUGCCGGAAGGUUAAUUGAUGGGGUUAGCGCAAGCGAAGCUCUUGAUCGAAGCCCCGGUAAACGGCGGCCGUAACUAUAACGGUCCUAAGGUAGCGAAAUUCCUUGUCGGGUAAGUUCCGACCUGCACGAAUGGCGUAAUGAUGGCCACGCUGUCUCCACCCGAGACUCAGUGAAAUUGAAAUCGCUGUGAAGAUGCAGUGUACCCGCGGCUAGACGGAAAGACCCCGUGAACCUUUACUACAGCUUGGCACUGAACAUUGAACCUACAUGUGUAGGAUAGGUGGGAGGCUAUGAAGACGUGACGCCAGUUGCGUUGGAGCCGUCCUUGAAAUACCACCCUUGUAUGU